ACCAUGGGGUGGGGGUGGGGGUGGGGGUGGGGGAGAGCUCAUUUCAAAUGUGGACUUUGCAGCCCACCCUGGACCCACCGAAUCGGAAAUCCAGCGACUAGAAACAUUUUUCUUAAAAAAAAGUUGUGAAGAAAGUCUAUAGCAAACUUCAAACUGACAAAAUAUAGGAUACAUUCCCAUACAAGACAGGAACUAUGUCUAGUAAAAACCCAAGGCUGAGCAAGAAAAUGGAAUGUUUCAAGGCCAAGAGAAAGACUUGAUCUAAAGGCCCAAAUGGCAGCUUUGCCCCAAGGGAGGUAAAAACUCAGCCGGGCUUCUCCAAGUGUCUUUACGAUUCAUGGCAAACUCUGUGGUGGGAAAUGUUUAUUAUGUAUUAUUAAGUGGAAAAAACACAGAAUAAUAUCUAUGCCCUGA